AUACGUAGGUGGCAAGCGUUGUCCGGAAUUACUGGGCGUAAAGGGCGUGUAGGCGGGGAGACAAGUCGGAUGUGAAAAACCAUGGCUUAACUGUGGCGCUGCAUUUGAAACUGUUUUUCUUGAGUGCUGGAGAGGAAAGUGGAAUUCCCAGUGUAGCGGUGAAAUGCGUAGAGAUUGGGAGGAACACCAGUGGCGAAGGCGGCUUUCUGGACAGUAACUGAUGCUGAGGCGCGAAAGCGUGGGGAGCAAACAGGAUUAGAUACCCUGGUAGUCCACGCCGUAAACGAUGGAUACUAGGUGUAGGAGGUAUCGACCCCUUCUGUGCCGGAGUAAACACAAUAAGUAUCCCGCCUGGGGAGUACGACCGCAAGGUUGAA
rnacentral:rRNA from 1 species